UGUUUCCGCAUCGACGAAGAACGCAGCGAAACGCGAUAGGUAAUGUGAAUUGCAGAAUUCCGUGAACCAUCGAAUCUUUGAACGCACAUUGCGCCUGCUGGUAUUCCGGUAGGCAUGCCUGUUCGAGCGUCAGCAAGACCUCUCAGCAAUAUUUUAUUGUUGGUUAUGGGCCGCGGAGGAAUUUGGCUUAACAGCCGCUCCCGCCUUAAACUUGCUGCACGACCUCAAGCAAAUGCUAGGUUAUUGGAGUGGUGUUUACAUUAUGUUCCAGCAAUCCUCCCAUAGCUUUGAUGGCGUUAAAUCUGAUAGUUGCAUCACCGCAACCGACGUUUUGACCUCGAAUCAGGCAAGGAUACCCGCUGA
rnacentral:misc_RNA from 1 species